rnacentral:rRNA from 1 species
UACAGAGGUCCCAAGCGUUGUUCGGAUUCAUUGGGCGUAAAGGGUGUGUAGGUGGCGCCGUAAGUCGGGUGUGAAAUCUCGGGGCUUAACUCCGAAACUGCAUUCGAUACUGCGGUGCUUGAGGACUGGAGAGGAGACUGGAAUUCAUGGUGUAGCAGUGAAAUGCGUAGAGAUCGGGAGGAACAUCAGUUGCGAAGGCGGCUCUCUGGACCAGCACUGACAC